rnacentral:rRNA from 1 species
GACGAACGCUGGCGGCGUGCCUAACACAUGCAAGUCGAGCGAAUGAAGUUCCUUCGGGAACGGAUUUAGCGGCGGACGGGUGAGUAACACGUGGGCAACCUACCUCAUAGAGGGGAAUAGCCUUCCGAAAGGGAGAUUAAUACCGCAUAAGAUUGUAGUACCGCAUGGUACAGCAAUUAAAGGAGCAAUCCGCUAUGAGAUGGGCCCCGCGGGCGCAUUAGCUAGUGGUGAGGUAACGGCUCACCAAGGCGACGAUGCGUAGCCGACCUGAGAGGUGAUCGGCCACAUUGGGACUGAGACACGGCCCAGACUCCUACGGGAGGCUAGCAGUGGGAAUAUUGCACAAUGGGG